CUUGACCGAGCCGAGCCACAGCGGCUCCUGGCCCUCCGGCCUGUCCUUGCCGUACGUGGCCAUCAGGGCCUGCGCCUC
rnacentral:antisense_RNA from 1 species